rnacentral:rRNA from 1 species
AACGCGAAGAACCUUACCUACCCUUGACAUCCCACGAAUCCUGCAGAGAUGCGGGAGUGCCGAAAGGAACGUGGAGACAGGUGCUGCAUGGCUGUCGUCAGCUCGUGUUGUGAGAUGUUGGGUUAAGUCCCGUAACGAGCGCAACCCUUAUGCUUAGUUGCCAACACGUAAAGGUGGGGACUCUAAGGAGACUGCUGGUGAAGAACCGGAGGAAGGCGGGGACGACGUCAAGUCAUCAUGGCCUUUAUGGGUAGGGCUACACACGUGCUACAAUGGGGCAGACAGAGGGAAGCGAAGCGGCGACGCGGAGCCAAUCUCAAAAAAGGUCUCGUAGUCCGGAUUGGAGUCUGCAACUCGACUCCAUGAAGUUGGAAUCGCUAGUAAUCGCGAAUCAGCAUGUCGCGGUGAAUACGUUCCCGGGCCUUGUACACACCGAGUAUA